rnacentral:rRNA from 1 species
GACGAACGCUGGCGGCGUGCUUAACACAUGCAAGUCGAACGGAAAGGCGCGGCUUUUGUGGGUUGCUCGAGUGGCGAGCGGGUGAGUAACACGCGAGUAACCUGCCCUUGACUUUGUGGUAUCUUCUGGAAACUGGGGCUAAUACCGGAUAGGAGCUCCUGAUGCACGGUGGGGGUUGGAAAGUUUCGGCGGUUGGGGAUGGACUGGCGGCUUAUCAGCUUGUUGGUGGGGUAGUGGCGUACCAAGGCUUUGACGGGUAGCCGGCCUGAGAGGGUGACCGGCCACAUUGGGACUGAGGUACGGCCCAGACUCCUACGGGAGGCAGCAGGGGGGAAUAUUGCACAACGGGCGGAAGCCUGAUGCAGCAGCGCCGCGUGCGGGAUGACCUCCUUCGGGUUGUAAACCACUUUCGCCUGUGACGAAGCCGGAGUGACGGUAAUGGGUAAAGAAGCACCGGCUAACUACGUG